GAUGAAGAACGUAGCGAAAUGCGAUAAGUAGUGUGAAUUGCAGAAUUCAGUGAAUCAUCGAAUCUUUGAACGCACAUUGCGCCUUUUGGUAAUCCAAAGGGCAUGCCUGUUCGAGCGUCAUUUGUACCCUCAAGCUUUGCUUGGUGUUGGGCGUCUUGUCUCUAGCUUUGCUGGAGACUCGCCUUAAAGUAAUUGGCAGCCGGCCUACUGGUUUCGGAGCGCAGCACAAGUCGCACUCUCUAUCAGCAAAGGUCUAGCAUCCAUUAAGCCUUUUUUUCAACUUUUGACCUCGGAUCAGGUAGGGAUACCCGCUGAACUUAAGCAUAUCAAUAAGCGGAGGA
rnacentral:misc_RNA from 1 species